UACAGAGGUCUCAAGCGUUGUUCGGAUUCAUUGGGCGUAAAGGGCGCGUAGGCGGCGAGGUAAGUCGGGUGUGAAAUCUCAGAGCUCAACUCUGAAACUGCACUCGAUACUGCUUUGCUAGAGGACUGGAGAGGAGAUUGGAAUUCACGGUGUAGCAGUGAAAUGCGUAGAGAUCGUGAGGAAGACCAGUGGCGAAGGCGGAUCUCUGGACAGUUCCUGACGCUGAGGCGCGAAGGCCAGGGGGAGCAAACGGG
rnacentral:rRNA from 1 species